AUGCAUGCAGCGAACCGUUGGAUAAAAAACUGCUCGUCUCGAUCAGACGAGCUUCACCUUGUCGAUGGCCCUCUCCCCUCGCGCCAAGCUCUCCAGCAGCUCCCUGACGUAGUCGCCGCUCUUCUUGGUCUUCUCGUACCGCCUGGGCCUCUCCUCGCUCACCAGCUCCGGCGCCGGCUCCACCUCCCGCUCCGGGUCCACCGUGUAGAACGCCGCCACCGACACCCGCCCCCUCUCCGCGCUCGCCACCACCCUGUGCACCGGGCUCCGCAGCACCCCGUUGCUCACCACCUCCACCACGUCCCCGAGGUUCACCACCAGCGCGCCGGGCACCACGGGCACGUCGUGCCACUCGCCGUCGCGGAGCACCUGGAGGCCCGCGGUCUCGGCGAGGAGGACGGUGAGCACGCCGCCGUCGGAGUGGGGCCUGAACCCCAGCACGCGGUCGGGGCGCGGGCAUGGGGCGUAGCAGUUGAGCCGCACGUAGGUCACGGCCUUCUCGUCCAGCAUGUCGGCCAGGCGCCCCUCCUCGGGGAGCCCCGCCGCGCCGGCGGCCUCCCGGAGCACGGCGCCGGCGAGCUCCCUGCACCGCGCGGAGUAGCGGUGCAGGACGUCCCGGAAAGAGGGCGGCCGCGUCGGCCAGAGGUCGUGGAGGCGCCGCGACUCCGGGUCGACGAUAAGGUAGAACCGGUCGCACCAGUCCAGGACCUGCGUCUCCGACAGCACCAUGUCGCCGCCGUAUCCCUCGAUCCUGUACUCUCUCUUGUCGCCGACCAGGUUGGUGUACCUCUGCUUCUCUUCCAGCGGGAGGUUGAAGAAGUCCCGCGUCACGGCCAUCAUCUCGCCCAGGAGACCCGGCUCGAUCCCGUGCCCGACGGCCUGGAGGAAUUCAGAAAUUAA
rnacentral:rRNA from 1 species